AAUUAUAUGACAAUAUAAAAUUCUUUCACACGUUAUUGACCCGUAUUCUUGGUUACUUGAUCAAGUGCCCUUGUGGAGUUGAGUGCAAAGAAAGAGUCCUUAUUCUGUUGCUUGAAGAGGGAAAUAAGCUUCUUAUAUCAGCAGAAAAUAAGGGUUUAGUAGAACAGCUCGCGCUUUUUUAGUGUUCUAACUAGUAAGUACAUAUGGAGGACAGAAGGUACUCCGAUUUAUAUAGAAACUCAACUGAAGAGUUGUUUAUAAAGACCUUGAUGGAGGGAUCAUCUGGUAUGCCAGUGCCAACAAUGGAUAUGCUAGGUUUCAAGAAUCUUUCUCAAAACUUCAGAGUAGAUAGCGAGGAACUCUUCAAUAGCUGGCUUACAAACGGAGAGAAUCAAGUCAAUAAUUCAGCAGGCAUAGCUCAUCGAACUCGGCAAGCAUCACGAAGAAUUACCUCUGAAUUGCCCAUUCUGCCAAAUCAGCACAAUGCAGCAAUACCACAGAAAAGAAGCAAUGAGAACCCAACACUGGAACACGCUUGCAUUGCUGAAGAAUCUUUGGACCAUUUCAAUCAGCAUCCUACCAGCAGUGUGGUGGAGACAGGGGCACCAGCUAGUAACCUUUACUUGGCUAAGGCAUGGUUCCAUAGUUCUCAGCCCAUGACGAGAAGUCGCUCAUCUGAAUUAAGGAAACGAUAUGUUGCUUUACAAAAUUCGCAGACAGCAUUUGGCAUCGAAGCUAUGAAUAAUCUUAAUGCUUCUGGACAUGGUAUUGGUAAUUUGCAGCAGGAUCUUACAAAUUCAAAUGGAUUUAAUAAAGCUUUAUUUUCUGACAUCCCCAAUCCGCUCAAUACGUUCAUGUCUCCAUCAAAUUCCUCGUCGUCUAAUUUCAACUCCCCUCAUAUGGGUACGAUAGAUAAUGUGUCUUCUGUUGUGAGCAUGCUGAAAGGUUCACUGAAACGCAAACGCCUUGAUAACCAGAUUGAAAAAUCUGGUGAAGAUCGGUCAUUAGGCUAUUAUGAUGCUCAAGAGAUCGUAGGUGAUCCUAGUUUGAUUCAAGAACAAGAAAGACAUAUUUACGAGGCACAAGGAAGUUUUCAAGAUACACAUGCUCACCAAGCUCUUGGUCCUGGGGUCCUGCAAACAGUUCAUGGAUUAAUGGAUAUAGAAGAAGAAAUCUUAGCUCCAGCAAAUCAAGUUCAAAUAAACACUGUAUCUCGGGAACAGUCACAGAGCGAAUCUUGUGCUGCUACACCUGCAGUUUCCAUUGGUUUAGAUGCAUAUGAUGGUCCCAGCAACUCAGGUCAGGCUCCGAGCCACUGUGAAAGCUCAAAAAAACAAGUUGGAAAUGAGAAUAUUUCAGAAAAUGGGAUAAAAGCCAAAGAUGUCAGAGAACGGAUAAACAAUGCCCUAAAAGACGAUCGCCAGCAAAAAGGAGGUUUGGUGCGAUAUGGCUCUGUAACAUCAGCUGGUUCAGGUUAUUAAUUUUGUUUGAGAUCUAGCAUUCAUAACUCUGUGCAAUAAAUCUGGUAUUCUGUGUGAUCUUAAGGUCUAAGAAGAAAUGUAGUAGUAUAUAGUCAUUAAUAUCUCGUUGAAAUGUCCUAAAUCAUGCAUAUGUCCUUCGUGAUAGAGUUCAAGGAAUCUCUUCCUUAGAUAUUAUACAAUAGCUUGUUAUUACGGCAAAAGGAAGAUAAGAAUUUGUAAAGAGAGUCCAGUGCAGAAUUACAGCCAACCACUUGGAAAAUUCUAAAUAUGUGAUUACAAGGAAGAUACAUGCCCUUGGCCAAGUGUAGGGAUCUCUCUUAGAUGACAAACAUUAGACUUGUUAAAGUUGCCAAAGGAGGAAAAUAUAAACUUGGAAAAUGAGUCAAAUGCAGACUAUAACCUAAAACUUAGACAAGUAAAGGUUUGCUUACUAUCAUCCUGCUGCAGCUCAUAAAGUGAAAGGCCUAAUAGAACUGGUAGCUUUAGUACAAGGUGACUGAAGAAUACUAUUCAAGUCAUUUAAUGCCAUAAGAAAAUGAAUUUUGUAUACUGAGGAUAACAAAUUGUGUGCACAGACCAGCCAAUACCAUUUAUGACUAGUGUAUAACAUUGGCAUUUUCUCUGAGUAUAUGCAUAUGUUUAAUUUUU